CACUGUCUGAUGUGGGUGUUGGUGAGAGUUCAACUCAGGAAGGGACUGAGAAGAUUUGAUAUUUCAUAAAAGGUGCCACAUGUCCCAAAUGGGAAGGCUCAGGAAAAGCCACAUGGAUGGGAAAUGCAGGACUGCCUCAGCAGGAACACCACAGCUUUACCCUCUCCAAGCAGAGCAGUUGUGUACUCCAAGUGAAGGACCAUGUGAACUUCUGGAGAAUUUUAACAUAGGUGUACUGAGCAGCCACAAGUUUUCAAGCUGAAGUCACAGCUGAACAGCAGUUUGAAAAUCCCAACUUGAGAGACUACUUAGGAGGAGGAAAAGUUUCCACUUCUAAGUCUUUCCAGAGCCAGACUUUGU